rnacentral:tRNA from 1 species
GCCGGGGUAACUCAGUUGGUAGAGUAGCGGUUCCGUAAACCGCAAGUCGCGAGUUCGAAUCUCGCCCUCGGCU